rfam:Solanum tuberosum cultivar DM 1-3 516 R44 scf00494_4, whole genome shotgun sequence.
CUGCACACGCAUAAAGGCUAUGCUAAAAUUUAUUGAAAUAGUGGAGCCUCGAGCGAUAGUGCAAAGAUGGAAUGCUGAGUUUAAACUCAGCGGCGGCCAGACAACCGUUGAGAUGAAUCCACAGAUGGGUUCCUUUUUACAAUGGUACUUGUCUACUAAUUUCAUCUCAUAAUU